GUCACAGCCCGUCCUGGAAUUUUAAUUCCGAGGACGUGAAAAGACGAAAAUGCCCUUAAACGGGAUUAAGGUGCGUAAUUUUGGUAUUGGUUUUACCUAAAAUUCCUAAGUUAUUGUUAAUUAAACUUAAACUUGGACUAAUAAUUUUGUGUUUGGACUUUAGGUAGGGUCCUACACCCUAAAUCCCUCCCCAUUUCCCGUUUGUUGUCUCUCUCUCAUCUCCUCAGUCACUCUCUCUCUCUUCCUUAGCUCUUCCUCAGAAACUCUCACUCUCUCUCUUCUUCUCGAACGCACGGGCAACCACCAAAACCACCUAAAACCUAUACCAACGUCCAAGUUAAGACCACAUUUGGACUCCUGGAACUUCCACGAUCACGUAGACAUCAAUUUCAGGUAAGUUCUACUUCGGAAAACCCUAGUUUUCAAAGUACCCGUGAAAUGGCACUGUUCAUAAACUCUUAAAUGGUGGUGUUUUAGCUUAAAACAAGAUCACAGUGAGCUUUAGGAUGUCCCAAGGAAGCUCGGAACUGACACACCCCGUCCCGAAGGAGGGCAUGCUGGCCGUCACGUGAGAGUGACGUAACCAUUUGCACAGUACGGAAGCUUUAAGAUACAAUUUAAAUUGAUACACCCGAAGGUGAGUCCUAAUUUUGUCCAAUCUGUCAGAACACCGUCGAAUUAUUGUAACAUCCCACAUCGCCCAGGGAGUGAUCCUUAAAUGUAUAUUCCCAUCUCUACCUAGCACGAGGCCUUUUGGGAGCUCACUGGCUUCGGGUUCCGUAGGAACUCCGAAGUUAAGCGAGAAGGAGGCCAGAGCACUCCCAGGAUGGGUGACCCACUGGGAAGUUGCUCGUGAGUUCCCAGAAACAAAACCGUGAGGGCGUAGUUGGGGCCCAAAGCGGACAAUAUCGUGCUACGGUGGUGGAGCGUGCCCGGGAAGUGGUCCGCCCCGGGCCGGGAUGUGACAAUUGGUAUCAGAGCCAAUCCCUGGCCGGAAGUGUGCCGACGAGGACGUCGGGCCCCUAAGGGGGGUGGAUUGUAACAUCCCACAUCGCCCAGGGAGUGAUCCUUAAAUGUAUAUUCCCAUCUCUACCUAGCACGAGGCCUUUUGGGAGCUCACUGGCUUCGGGUUCCGUAGGAACUCCGAAGUUAAGCGAGAAGGAGGCCAGAGCACUCCCAGGAUGGGUGACCCACUGGGAAGUUGCUCGUGAGUUCCCAGAAACAAAACCGUGAGGGCGUAGUUGGGGCCCAAAGCGGACAAUAUCGUGCUACGGUGGUGGAGCGUGCCCGGGAAGUGGUCCGCCCCGGGACUGACACACCCCGUCCCGAAGGAGGGCAUGCUGGCCGUCACGUGAGAGUGACGUAACCAUUUGCACAGUACGGAAGCUUUAAGAUACAAUUUAAAUUGAUACACCCGAAGGUGAGUCCUAAUUUUGUCUAAUCUGUCAGAACACCGUCGAAUUCCUCGUAGUCACCACACCUUUGUGAUUCCUGAACCUGGAGGGGCGCAAAACCAAAAUUGAGUGGGUCAGUAAAACAAUUCUUUUCCAAAUCCAAACAUUUCUCAAAACGUUGUAACCCCUCUCCGUAAAACCUGUAUACUUUCCCAGAAAUGUAAAAUAUAAAUAUACAUAUAUAUUCUCAAAACUUCAUUUUUACUAUCUCAACAUUAUCUCGUUAUCAAUCAUGCCAUGCCAUGUCAUCUCAACAUUUCUCAUAUUAAUUAUGCCAUGCCACAUCUCAUCUCAACAGUAAUAAGGUAUGAAUGCAUCAACAUAAUCAUAUCAGGUGCAAGAAAGUAAUCAACCGUAGGCCCUCUAAUAGCCCUGUACGGUUGAACCUAGAGCUCAAAAUCUAUCAUUAUCACUCUACCCGGAGUCACCUCUGUGACCCGUCCGGCCUUCUGCACACAAGUUACGCUCUAGUGCUUCUCAUAAAUCAUCUGUGCACAUAAUCUAAGGUCACCCACCAGUCGGAAUCUCACUAACACUCUCGCGACUGGUCUGUCGUACCCACUCCGCGUGGACUGUACGACUAGCAUCUACUUGGAUCCAAGGCGAGCGUGCGAUGCGGUGAAUACUAUAAGCACUAAAACCAUGGUGCAGGAUUUGAGCUCAAUAUAUAUAUCAACAUCAUCAUAACAGUAUUUAAAUAAUCACCUGAUACUCACCUGUGCGUCCACCGCACCAUUUCAUACAUAUGCAUCAUAAAUCAAUUCUUACAUGUGCGUCCACCGCACCAAUUCAUACAUAUGCAUCAUAAAUCAAUUCUUACUUGUGCGUCCACCGCACCAAUUCAUACAUAUGCAUCAUAUAUUAAUUCAUCAUGCAUGGCAUUUCAACUCACAUUUCUAUAUACUUUUCAUAUCAAUUCUAUGCAUGGUAUUUCACUUCCCGUUUUUCCACAUAACUCAUAUGCAUUUCAUUUUAAACAUAUUUUCAUUUCAAUUCAAUUUCUGGGAAACGUCAAGUAUAUAUAUAUACGGAAAACAAAACUGCCCACUCACCUGGAGUUCGCCCUACAACUCCCUAGCACCACACAUCAAGGCGUCAUGACGAUCGGCGCCUAAAACAAUAUUUAAUUCCAACCUCAGAAUUCAUAUCGAUAGAAUAUA
rnacentral:lncRNA from 1 species